GUUCGUGGGGUGGGAAGGUACAGCGUGAGACUGCACGUGGGGGUGAGACUGCACGUGGGGUGGGAGGAAGGUUGGGAGGAGGUACAGCGUGAGACUGCACGUGGAAGGUUCGUGGGGUGGGAGGAGGUACAGCGUGAGACUGCACGUGGAAGGUUCGUGGGGUGGGAGGAGGUACAGCGUGAGACUGCACGUGGAAGGUUCGUGGGGUGGGAGGAGGUACAGCGUGAGACUGCACGUGGAAGGUUCGUGGGGUGGGAGGAGGCCCGAAAACAAUUAGGAUUCUCAGGUUAAAGAAUUAAAUCUAAUUUAGGUUGGGGUCUCGUUGUGAGGAGAAAUGCUGAAUGCUUUGCUGUAUUGUCGAUAAGACAUCUUAAGUAAGGGUCUCUUACUUCCAGUAUGUAUUUUUUAUGGAGAAACUGCCUUUAGCCUAUGAUUUGUCCUGUUAAGUAUUAUCACUGGUCUUGGUGAUAGUAGAGAACAGUCAAACUGUUAGUACAGUAGUUCCUCAUCCUGGCAAUCAGCUGGUCUGAACUUCUGUUACUGGACUAUUUGUUGACGUAAACAUCCUGCUUUGCUGUAGCUCAGUUGGUAGAGCAUAGCGCUUGCAAUGCCAAGAUAGUGGGUUCGAUUCCAGGGACCACCCAUGUGUAAAAAAAUAUUUUUUUAAAUGUAUGCAUGACUCAGUUCUUUUGGAUGAAAGCAUCUGCUAAAUGGCAUAUUAUAUUGAAGAUGGUUUCUAUGUUUUUUUUUAAUGAAGCUUUAAAUUGAACUGCAAUAAGCUUUUGGUACCACCCAUUGGGCACAAUAGGAAUGACGUAGCCUAGCUACCACAAGGCUUACUAUAGGCUAAUACAUAAUAAAUGGCAUUUCAUAUAACAAUAUGACCAUGCAAAACUAAGCUGUUGACAAUCAAGGUUCUGUCGAUUUGUUAAAACAAAAUUAUAAUAGUUUGGUUUUCAGUGUGGUGUGCAGUAGACUAAAUAGAAGGCCAGUUUCCUGUACCUAGAUUACGCCUACCCCUUGUCAACACGCACUGAAGUUAUUUUAGUCUAAGAAUAGAGGUAGUUCAGCGAGCUAAUGUUAAUAUUUUGGUGAACUGUGCCUUUUAAUAUGAAUACCGAACUGUACCUUUUAAGUAUGAACUCUUUUAAUGUGCUGCCAUAGAUUAUGUGUAGCGGAGUUUAAUGUUCAUAUUUGUUUGCUGAUAUACAGUUGGAGUCAGUUUACAUACACUUAGGUUGGAGUCAUUAAUUCAUUUUUCAACCACUCCACAAAUUUCUUGUUAACAAACUCAAGACAUCUACUUUGUGCAUGACACAAGUAAUUUUUCCAACAAUUGUUUACAGACAGAUCUGUACAAACAAUAGUACGCAAGUAUAAACACCAUGGGACCACGCAGCCGUCAUACCGCUCAGGAAGGAGACGAAUUCUAUCUCCUAGAGAUUAACAUACUUUGGUGCGAAAAGUGCAAAUCAAUCCCAGAACAACAGCAAAGGCCCCUGUGAAGUUGCUGGAGGAAACAGGUACAAAAGUAUCUAUAUCCAGUAAAACUAGUCCUAUAUCGACAUAACCUGAAAGGCCGCUCAGCAAGGAAGAAGCCACUGCUCCAAAACCGCCAUUAAAAAAGCCAGACUACGGUUUGCAACUGCACAUGGGGACAAAGAUUGUACUUUUUUGAGAAAUGUCCUCUGGUCUGAUGAAACAAAAUAGAACUGUUUGGCCAUAAUGACCAUUGUCGACCAUGACCAUGUUUGGAGGAAAAAGGUGAAGGCUUGCAACCUGAAGAACACCAUCCCAACCGUAAAGCACAGGGAUGGCAGCAUCAUGUUGUGGGGGUGCUUUUCUGCAGGAGGGACUAGUGCACUUCACAAAAUAGAUGGCAUCAUGAGGCGGGAAAUUUUGUGGAUAUAUUGAAGCAACAUCUCAAGACAUCAGUCAGGAAGUUAACGCUUGGUUGAAAAUGGGUCUUCCAAAUGGCAAAUCUUCCGAAGUUGUGGGAAAAUAGCUUAAGGUCAACAAAGUGAAAAUAUUGGAGUGGCCAUCACAAAGCUGUGUCAGGAGGAAUGGGCCAAAACCCUGCCCAGAAACUCACCUCGGAUCAUAUCAUAUCAUAUUUAUUGUGGGAAGCUUGUGGAAGGCUACCCAAAACGUUUGACCCAAGUUAAAUAUUUUAAAGGCAAUGCUACCAAAUACUAAUUGUGUGUAUGUAAACUUCUGACCCACUGGGAAUAUGAUGAAAGAAAUAAAAGCUUAAAUAAAUAAUUCUCUCUACUAUUAUUCUGACAUUUCACAUUCUUAAUAAAGUGGUGAUCCUAACUGACCUAAGACAGGGAAUUUUUACUAGGAUUAAAUGUCAGGAAUUGGUCAAAACUGAGUUGAAAUGUAUUUGGCUAAGGUGUAUGUAAACUUCCGACUUCAACUGUAUGUUUUGAUUUGCAUGAGUGUUUGUGUUACAGAGAUUGGAGAUUUAUUCUGUUGAUAAAGAGAAAAUAAAAUGUGUAAAG
ensembl:lncRNA